rnacentral:misc_RNA from 1 species
CUCCACCACCCCCACCCCCACCUCCAAACCCUCCUCCACCACCAGCACCCCCUCCAAGUCCACCACCAGCACCCCCACCAAAUCCUGCUCCACCGCCAGCGCCACCACCUAACCCACCGCCACCUCCACCUCCAAACCCACCACCACCUCCACCACCAAUACCGCCACCAAGCCUAGGGCGGCGGUGAAAUGAGUUCUUCUCAUCCUGAAAAGAACUACCCUUCUUGUCCACAAUCUUUCUGGCACGACUAGCAGUGCAAACAAGAGCACCAAGAAGCAAUACAAGAAUCAAUUUCGAAGACAUCUUUUGCUGCAGCUAACCAAGAUUCGAUGUAGCUAAG